UACGAAGGGGGCUAGCGUUGCUCGGAAUCACUGGGCGUAAAGCGCACGUAGGCGGAUUGUUAAGUCAGGGGUGAAAUCCUGGAGCUCAACUCCAGAACUGCCUUUGAUACUGAGGAUCUUGAGUUCGGGAGAGGUGAGUGGAACUGCGAGUGUAGAGGUGAAAUUCGUAGAUAUUCGCAAGAACACCAGUGGCGAAGGCGGCUCACUGGCCCGAUACUGACGCUGAAGCACGAAAGCGUGGGGAGCAAACAGG
rnacentral:rRNA from 1 species